rnacentral:rRNA from 1 species
CCUACGGGUGGCAGCAGUAGGGAAUUUUUCACAAUGGGCGAAAGCCUGAUGGAGCAAUGCCGCGUGAAUGAUGAAGGUCUUAUAGAUUGUAAAAUUCUUUUAUGUGGGAAGAAAAACUAAAGGAGGAAAGGACUUUAGUCUGACUGUACCAUGGGAAUAAGGAUCGGCGAACUAUGUGCCAGCAGCCGCGGUAAUACAUAGGAUGCAAGCGUUAUCCGGAUUUACUGGGCGUAAAACGAGCGCAGGCGGGUUAACAAGUUUGGUAUGAACGGCUUUUGCUUAACGAAAGUUUGUAUCCAAAACUGUUAAUCUAGAGUGUAGUAGAGCGUUCUGGACUUCCAUGUGGAGCGG